UCGGAUUGUAGUCUGCAACCCGACUACAUGAAGCUGGAAUCGCUAGUAAUCGCGAAUCAGAAUGUCGCGGUGAAUACGUUCCCGGGUCUUGUACACACCGCCCGUCACACCAUGGGAGUCGGAAAUGCCCGAAGUCAGUGACCUAACCGAAAGGGAGGAGCUGCCGAAGGUGGAGCCGGUAACUGGGGUGAAGUCGUAACAAGGUACC
rnacentral:rRNA from 1 species